UACGAAGGGGGCUAGCGUUGCUCGGAAUCACUGGGCGUAAAGCGCACGUAGGCGGAUUGUUAAGUCGGUGGUGAAAUCCUGGAGCUCAACUCCAGAACUGCCUUUGAUACUGGCAAGCUUGGAGUCCGGGAGAGGUGAGUGGAACUGCGAGUGUAGAGGUGAAAUUCGUAGAUAUUCGCAAGAACACCAGUGGCGAAGGCGGCUCACUGGCCCGGUACUGACGCUGAGGCACGAAGGCCAGGGGAGCAAACGGGG
rnacentral:rRNA from 1 species